UGCUACACUGGUGUCAGCAGCGGGACUGAAUUUCCUGGAGGAAGUAUUGGGAGUGAAGCGUACCUGAUUCAAAAUGGACGGGGAUAUAUAUAUAUUAUUUUUAUCAGCUGAUAAGCAAGAGGAUUCCCUACUGCAGUUUGCUGCUCCUUUCUGAGAGGCCACUGUUUCUUUACAAAGGAGGAGGACAGGGAGAGAACCAGAACAUGUGGCAGGGAGGCACACAAUGUUUCCCCCAGCAGAGAAGCAACUGUGACAGAAGGGAUCCUUUGUGAACCAAGAGCUGGCUUUCCCACCAACAGCCAACGUAUUUUAUGCCGUGAACAGCACGUGCCUGGACUUCAUGCUCCGACCAGGCAGCCAGUGCAAUUCUUUCAGCAGUGGGUUGACAUGUUGGCGAUACUCUGCCCCAGUGAGCAGUCUCGCCGCCGCAUUUUGCAGCAGCUGCCGCUUCUGGACGGGUCUCAAGGGCAGCCCCACAGAGAGUGCAUUACCGUAAUCCAGCCUGGAGGUUACCAGUGUGUGGACAACAGUGGUCAGGGUAUCUCGGUCCAGAAAAGCCACAAUUGUCUUGCCAGCCUAAGCUGGUAAAAGGCACUCCUAGCCACUGAGGUCACCUGGGCCUCUAGUGACAAAGAUGGAUCCAGGAGCAACCCCAGACUAUGGACCUGCUCUUUCAGAGGGAGUAUGACCUCAUAUCAGACUUAGUGUGCUAAAUGAUCUCAAUUUGAUUCCUAGACAGAGCAAAAGCACCUCCAUUCAAAGUUCCUCGUAGUGGCUAGGACACCAUUUUGAAUUAAGGGGGGGUUGAAAGUAUGCCUAUAAAUGCCCCCAUUACUCACACACUGACUGGUGUUAUCAGUCCUCCUGGUUGACACAAGGGACCUUUGAAGAGUGAAUAGAAAGCACUACUGAAAAUUGGCAAUCUUUUCAUCAAAGGAAUCAAAUGUGGAAGACCACGACUGAAAGUAAACCGCAAAGUUUUAUUAAAAGGGUAAAUAUAGGUGAAGAGAGCAAUCGAGAUGCCCACAGGGCAAGUCAGCCACCACCCGCAUCCACAUCCCAUCACUCAUGCUGGCUGGGGUGAAGGUAAAGUUAGUCCUUCCUUAAUUUAUGAUGACAAUCCAAAAAAUUUAGACUCGUUGCUUUCUUCCACCACAUUACACCCAAAGAUCUUUCCAUUUCCGUAUCACAACCAGGUCACAAACUCCAGGAACUGCAAAAAUUAAACCAAAAUUCUAUAUUCCAGGAGAGGCUUGUAAAAGUUCAGAGACACGUUAGGGAGUAUAGGAUUGAAUUAGACAAUUGUUCCAUCUAGCUCAGUAUUGUCCACACUGACUGGCAGAGUCUCUCCAGGAUUACAGUCUUUUCCAGAAUUUCCUGGAGAUUCAGAGUGGGACCUUCUGUGUACAAACCAGCUGCUCUGCCACUGAGCUACAGCCCUUCCCCUGAACGGUUCUCUCCUUCAGCUUGUUUGUAAAUAAGAAUAGGUGGGAAAUGGGGAUGACGCUGUUCUCUCGGCCCCGUUGGAGCUGCUGUCAGCCAUCUGUCAGCCAUCCAGGCGCCCAUCUUCAAAGUAAGACAUAGGCCCCAUAACUGGGUUUUUAUCAAAACUUAUAUGGUAGAAACAACAAUCCUCACAUUCAGCUAUUCUUAGCCAGCACCUUUCCUGAUCUGCCAGCCUUUGGCCUAGGCAUAGUGAUCCCUAUUUGGCUUUAAUCAUAGAAUAAGUGGACCUGCUCCUUCUGAACACUGCCUCUGAAUGCUGAAAACCAUUCCCAGAAGCAGGGAAGGGAUGAGGACCCCGUGAGAGUCCAAGAGAUCAAAUAUGGAACAGCAAGACCCAGCUACCCCUGAAGCAGGACUUGGGACAUGAUGUCAUUAAGACUGAGAGCCAUGGGGAAGAAUUCUCGGGGGGAAACAUGCAGAAGAUCUUGGGGGAGAAUCCAUUCAGCUCAGAUGUGCAGCACCAGUUCUGGCAUUUCCGCUACCAGGAGGCUGAGGGCCCCCGAGAGGCUUGCAACCGACUCCACCUUCUUUGUCGUGAGUGGCUGAAGCCAGAGCAACACUCGAAGAACCAGAUCCUGGACCUGGUGAUCCCAGAGCAGUUCCUGGCUGUCCUGCCCCAGAGAUGGAGAGCUGGGUGAGGGAGUGUGGGGCCAAGACCAGUUCCCAGGCAGCGGCCCUGGCCGAAGGUUUCCUCCUGAGCCGGGCAGAGGACGAGAAGCAGGAAGAGCAGCAGGAAAAGCCUCUCUAUGCAGAAAUAGGAACUGAUUUCCCUGUGGCAGAGAGGACUCCAUCGGGCACCAGGCAGAGGCUGCUGGGUGAUGGAAUGAUGUCAGCAAGACCUAAUAAGUCAUCUCCCCUUUCUGGUGGAGGAGAAGUUGUUGCUAUCGCCCCAGAUCAGGAUGCAGUGUCUGGAGGAUGCGGCUGUGCAGUUCACGGAAGAGGAGUGGGCUUUGCUGAAUCCUGACCAGAGAGCUCUGCAUAGCGAAGUCAUGGAGGUGAUUUCUGGGACUCUGUCCUAUCUUGUUUUCCUACCUGACCCAGGAGUUUCACACACCCCUUCUUCAGGAUUGCCCACCAGGGCUAGGAAAGUUCCAGGUCGGAGGUCAAGCUUGGUCGGUCGGACAGCCUGAAGGGCCGGGAGGAGCUCAAGAGGUUUCGGAAAGCAGAGAAUGUGCCUGGCUCCCGGAGCGACGUGGACAUGGACACCCGGCUUCACCAGUCAGCAUCCUCUUCUGCGUCUCGCCUCUAUGCCAGGUGAAGAAGUGAAUCAUGUUGUUGUUGGUGGUGGUGGUGAAAGUGAAUUAAAGUCUGCUAUAUUCUAUACUGAUCAUUCCAACAAUACCUUCUGAACGUUCCCCUUUCUGCAUAUCUGUUCUGUGUCAGACAUCCUUCUAGAAGCUGCUUAUCACGUCUAAUCUUUGGCAUAACAGUUCUGUGCCAGACUCAACAAAGCCAUCCUGAAAUAGGGAGAAAAGCCGUCCUAGCAGCCCUUCAGUUAAAGCAUGCAGCUUUUGUCUUCAUGGGAUGCCCCCUCACCCUCCUCUUCUUCCUCCACUUGUUUACACACAUACACACACAUAAUACUGGGUGCAAGGGAAAGGGGGAGGGAUCAGUGAGAUCUGUGAAUGUCCUCUACCACCAAGCCUUCAGAUGUACAUGGGAAACUGCUUUAUACUGAGUCAGACUAUUGGUCCAUAUUGUUUAGUAUUAUCUACAUUGACUAUCAGCAGCUCUCCAGGGUUCCAGAUGGAG